rnacentral:lncRNA from 1 species
GGCUCCAGCCGCCACCGCCGCCUCUGCGCGCCGCCGCUACGAUUCUUCGACAGUGCCGGCCGCGCCUGCGCGAUAGGCGCCCCCGCCCCGCCGCCGCCGCCGCGAUCCCAGCCCCGGCCCCUGCCCGCGCCCCCGCCACCGGCACCGGGGGUUCCUCCUGCCGCCGGGGGGCCGCCGCGACCCCGCCCCGAUGGCCCUCGGGGAGGGCUGUGGGAGCGGAGAGGGAAAAGGUGAGGGGCGGGGGUGCCCUGCAGCUCCCUCCUUCUUUUCUGAUUUUUAUUAUUGUUGAAUGUAUUACUAUUUCCCUCACCGCCGAGGGGCUUUGCCGAAACCUCCCACCCGUGGGUGCAGCGGGGCGCGGGGCGCGUCCCGCAGUGCGGGGCUCAGUGUACCCCCUCUUGUCCCCCGCCCCGCUCGCCCUGUGACCUUGGACACGGCGCCCCGGGCGCGCCCCGCAGCUGCGAGGUCUCCCCCGCCGGGCCGGUCAUCGCCACCUCCGGGCACGGGUCGGCGCCCCGCCGAGCCAUGCUCGGCUUUGUUCUCCCCGCCGGAGCAGGAGGCACCAUUAGAAAGAAAUGUAACGAUUAGCCAGCUUUUGCUUUUUUUUUUUUUUUUUUUUUUUUUCUCUUAACUGUUGUCAUUGUGCACAGGAAAUAGGACGUUCUAGAUUUCCUGUCAUUUUAAACCACAAACCAGCAGUUCUCUAAUGCAGAUGAGCGAAAUUCAUACCGACUAUGCACACGUCGUCUCGUUCCCAAAAAAGAAAAACCUGUUUCCCCGACCCCCUUCCACGCUGUGAAUCGCUCAUCCGCCACCUGUACCCGCACUGAAACAUAGGGUGGGGGCAAGGGAGGGAGCAAGAGAGGCUGUUCGCUCUCCUCGUGUGCCACGGGAGGUGAAGCAAGCCCUCACCGCGCAAAUCCCGGCAAGUAUGGUCGGCUGCACGCCUUUGCCCGUGCAGGGUGAACACGGCAGAGGCUGCUCCCCCCGACAGCCGUGCUCCAGCCGCCCUUCCCACGGCGUUAUGCACAAUUUCUAUGGGAUACAUCAAAACCAGCUUCAUUCCCAGGCCAUCUCACCACGGUCCACAUGUCCUUGGAGGCUGAGGGAGCCCAUCCAUGGGCCUGGCCCUGGAGGAGCAAACCCAGGAGGUGGCCAGACCCCAGCAGGCAUCUCUGGAAAGAGUCAGAGAUGCUGCGCACUGGGACAUGCUCAGCUCCUUCCCUGCACAAAGCAAAGACCCAAACACCAACCCCUAACCUUCAGCCCAGCAUGAU